CGUAUUCAAAAUCACAAGGCAAUAAUUGCGCUUAUAGUUUAUUAGUUGACAAGAUUGCUAAAGCACCCCGUGACGGAUAUAAUACGUGGCCAAACUUAUCCAAGUUUGUUUUAGUGGAAAAACUAAGCCUAAUCCAAUAAUCCAUGAUCCAACCCAUGAGCGCUUGAAUGGUUUGUCAUUGUAACGUAUAUAUUUCCCCAUAUGAACAGCCAAAUACCCGAACCUAGCUCCGGAAUUCUUUCUUCUUUUUGAACGUUAGGCCCUGUUUAGCACAUCUUCACUCCUAAACUCCAG
rnacentral:lncRNA from 1 species